CUCUGGGCCUGUUAGGCUGAUGUAUAUAAACUCAUAUCACACAGAGGAGGUGAACAAAUCCCAGCACCCAGGAAGAGGCUCCCCCACCACCAUUCCACCCCUCCUAGGGCAGAGGAGGUGAGCCAAUCCCAGUGCCCAGGAAGAGGAUCUCCAGCACCAUUCCACUGCUCCUAGGGCAGAGGAGUCUUUUGCUAGGGAUCUUCAUGGACAGAACCCAGUCAGAAGUCUGAGAGUGAGCAGUUCAGAAGCAGUUAAAAUCCGAAAUGUCCAGGAAGCAUCUUGACAGCUAAAUAAUAAAAGCCACAAUUGUGUCCUCUGGUAGAAGCA
ensembl:lncRNA